CUGUUUUGCUUCUUCUUUUGUGUGAGCCUUAAUCGAAAAGAAGUGUUAUUAAGAGAAGAAAAUACUAUAAAAAAUAUAACACUUCUGAGCAAUUGGACGUCUACGAUGCCGUGGAAACUGGGAACUGCAGCUUGUACGGACGACGGGAGGGCUAGCGCCGCUCACCUGGGUGCCGUCGGGCCCGAUUUGAUCCAGCGAUCCAAUGGUGCUGUACAGGAACUUGGUGAUCUUCAUGAAGUUGUCGUCGCCGAUGGACCAAGAACCGUCGACCAGGAACGCCAGAUUGUUGACCCGAAUUUCUCCAACAUCCUGGGAGGAUUUUCCUUCUCGGUUUCUCAGUACACCGGGACGAGUCCUGCUGUUGAGAGGUUGGCGUGCUCUUGCCGAGCUUUUAUGGGUUUGCCCAAGCUGAGUAAAAGUUCCCGUUUUAAUACCGUCGGGAAAUACACUUCAUUUGUCAUAACGAGGUACCCUAACUACAUUUCUGAUGAAUUUAAAUUAAUUUAAAGACAGACACCUUGCAUAUGUUGCCACAAGUCCCCAACCGAAGCAAAAAAACAAAAACAAAACAUGGCUUUGGAUCUUUUCCGAUUGGCUUUUUCUGCACACCCUUUUGAUAUGAGUGAAAACAAACAAAUACAAAAGCAAAUAUGACUAUAUAUUGACUAUAUUUGGAGGCUUUUCUCCCGGCCAUGUUUGGAGAUAAUUUACAAAAACA